GUGGGGAAUCUUGCGCAAUGGGCGAAAGCCUGACGCAGCCAUGCCGCGUGGAUGAUGAAGGUCUUAGGAUUGUAAAAUCCUUUCACCGGUGAAGAUAAUGACUGUAGCCGGAGAAGAAGCCCCGGCUAACUUCGUGCCAGCAGCCGCGGUAAUACGAAGGGGGCUAGCGUUGCUCGGAAUUACUGGGCGUAAAGGGCGCGUAGGCGGACAGCUUAGUCAGAGGUGAAAGCCCAGGGCUCAACCUUGGAAUUGCCUUUGAUACUGGCUGUCUUGAGUUUGGGAGAGGUGAGUGGAACUCCGAGUGUAGAGGUGAAAUUCGUAGAUAUUCGGAAGAACACCAGUGGCGAAGGCGACUCACUGGCCCAAUACUGACGCUGAGGCGCGAAAGCGUGGGGAGCAAACAGGAUUAGAAACCCGUGUAGUCC
rnacentral:rRNA from 1 species